AUUUAAUCGUUUAAUUUUGCAUAUUUUCAGGAUUCAGCGUGUUCAGUGCCUCAAGAGGACAUCGGCUUGGCCUGGGACGGCGUCUGUUUCGCUUUCCUAAUACUGCAGCGACGACUUUUCCAUAGUUACUACUUUUAUAGAGUUAUCGAUGAAAGCAAAGCUACCACUGUACUUGCUUCCAGGGGAGCUGAAUUGAUUGAAGAGUUACGCCAAAAGCAAAUGCAAGUCCAAGAGGAACAGGAAAUUAAAAUAUUAGAAAAGAUCAAAGUAAAGAUGGAGAGAAUAAAAGCUAACCAAAAGAAGAUUCAAGGCGCAAUGUCCAAGGAGCCUCUGCAGCAUGACGCUGUGGAAGAGGAGGAGGAAGAGACGCAACAGGGAGAGUCUGAGGUGCCGCUGGUGCGAGGGGAGUCCGAGGUGUCGCGCGGCUUCCAUACGCCUGACA